GGUUUGAUAUUUCUCGUUGUUACUUGUGGAAGGGAAUUUUUUUUUAUUUGUUUCAGUUACAAAUUCCAAUUAUGCAUAUUUAAAUUUAAAUAGUUAGUACAGUUUUACAGUUGUUAGUUUAUACUAUGUUUUUGUAAAUGUUCUCUUCACUUGUUAUCUUUCUUUUGUGUACAGGCAUAGCGGUUUUAUAUUAAUUUUGAUUUCAAAUUAACACUUCGUUUAGUAUACAUAUUGUUUUUUAAUUUUCAUUUUUUUUUUGUUAUUUUUUUAUUUUCACUUAUAAUUUUUGUAUUUUUAUUUUGUACAGUCAAAUCAAUGAACACAGUUUUUCGUAGGUGGUUUUAAUUUCCACUUUUGUGUGUUUUGAACAGUCAUUCAAAUAAAAAACUAUUUUUCUGUGUAUUUUUUUAUUUCCACUUUUUUUUAGUUCUGUCAACUUUAAAUUUUUGUAUCAUCUAUUUGUUUCUUGUUCUAUUUACUUUCAAUACUUGUUUUUACUAUAGGAAUGCGAUGCGCGUCUAUUUGUUUGAACUGUACAGAUUCGGUAACUGUUAUUUUAAUUUUUGCCACUGUUUCAACAGAGAACGUAUAUUUACAGAGAAGGUCCAACAACGGACAGGCGUGUAAACUGUCAAAAGCUAACAAAAUGCGAUGAGCGUGUUUCACCACAGCUAGCUAAGAAGGAGAAACUUUAACAGUGGCGCGUGAACAGAGCUGAGCAUUCAAUGAAAAUUAUGCUCAGAAAUAUACAUUCUUAUUACAGACGUAUGUUAGUCUUUUGGAUAUAUUUUUUUAUUUUUUUUUAUUUUAUUUUAUUUUAUUUUAUAAAAGCUUGCAUAAUAAUACAAUUAUUAUACAAACUUAAGAAAAUACGCAGCACUAGCAUCAUGGGCUAUCGGCCGACUGGUUAUGUUAUAUGCGUCGAAGAAGGUCGCUGUCUUUCAAAAAGUUGUAGAUUUUCGAAAUGUUGUUGCUUGAGGGAUCCAUCAAUAAAAUUAUUGGAUCAGUAUUGUUGAAGUUUGACAUUCUAUGAGUUUGAAGUGCUGGACAAUGUUGCAGAAGAUGCAAUAGAUUUAAAUCUGAAUCACAAAAUGGGCAUUGGUUGAUCUGAGUGCCAUUUAGUAUGUGAGCGUGUGUGAUAAUGGAGUGGCCAAUGCGAAGUCUGAUAUAUGGAAUGAUAUAAUUAGAUGAAAGCGAUGACGGAAAGGAUGGUUUGAUACGAUUUGAAUUUAUUCUAGAGUAGUGGUGUCUGUAAUUCAUCCAAUCAAGCGCCAAUUUAGUGGAUCUUUGUUGAAUAAUAAGCCGUUUUAUAUCACUCUUAACAAACAAGGCAGAUGUAGUUGUUGGAGUGAUGCACACCUCCUUAGCCACCGAGUCCGCAAAAGUAUUUCCAAUGAUUCCAGAGUGACCGGGUAUCCACAUUAUUUUUAGUCUAUGUGCUAACGAAAACAACAGCGAUCUAAUGCCAAUAAUGACGUCAUUGUAGUUACUGCGGUUUUUUAAAGCUUGAAAACACGAUAGACUAUCUGUACAGAUGAUGAAUUUACCAAGGUUUUGUUGGGCAUACUGGACAGCUUUGAGAAUACCCGUAGCUUCAGCGGUAAAAAUUGAACAAAAUGGAAAUAAUAAACCAUACGAUAUUCUUUGUUGGUUAUCAUCAACUACAGCAAAAGAUGUAUGCGACGAUUUGGAGCCAUCAGUAUAUAUAAACUGCCAAUCAAAAGAUUUGAAGUGCGCAGAUAAUUCCAAAAAUCGAGAUUUAUACACAGUGGUUGGAGUGAUGGAUUUGCGAAGAAAAGUAAGAUCACUAAUGAAAGAAGAUUCAUUUACUUUCCACGGUGGAAUAUAUUUACUGCAAGGCAGCAAUAUUUUAAGCGGCAACUCAUUGGUUUUAGCAAACAAAGCACUUUUAAAAAUAGAAGACGGUAUUUUAGGAGACCUCUUUCUGCAAAGUGAUGAUUGAAAGUCCUUUUUUAUAGUAAAGUUCGUGCUGAGUAUGAGUUUUGAAUAAAGCUUAUUUAAGCUAUCUUCCACUGCAUCUUUUAGAGAAGGUAGGCCAGCUUCCGUCAGUAUGUUUUUAAUUGGCGAUGUUGGAAACACUCGAAGAGAACAACGAACUGAAGAAUGAUAGGGCGCAGCAAGCAUCUUUAGAUGAUUCUUAGAAUGAUGUCCAUAAAUUUCCAAGCCAUAAUUAAUUACAGAUGAGAUGAGGGCUUUAGUGACGUUGACCAGUAAAGCCGAGCCGAUGAGUGAGCGCUUACAUGAGAGAGUCUAAUACAAUACCAAGGAACUUAAUACUAUCUGUACACAAAAUGUUUGUAUUAUCAAAUGUGAGCGUUGGGAUAGUACAUUGAUGUUUUUUACAAAUAUGAAAAAGUUUCGAUUUAGGAAAAGAUAUUGAUGUGCCUGAAGUAGAGGACCAACGAGAAAGACGCAAUAAAAUUUCAGAGAAAGUAAUUGUUACUGAAGUCAAAUUUGAAGUUUUUGAGAAUAAAAUUAAAUCAUAGAAUAAAAUUAAAUUAACAAAAUCUGAUAGAAUGGUACUGAUUUCAUCAAAUGCAAUAGUAAAUAGGAUCACCGAGAGCGGUGACCCUUGUGGGGUACCAUUAUCUAAUGGUAGAACAGAGGAUGAAACAUUGGAUAUGAUAACACUUAAUUUACGGUUGGAUAGGAAAGAUUUGACAAAGUUAAAAAUACGAGAACCCACUCUCCACCUACUAAGCUGUCUUAACACUACAUGAAUCCCAAUCCUGUCAAAUGCUUUUAGGAAAUCUAAAGAAAGAAUAGAAACAUGAUUUUUGUGGGAGAGAGUAUCAGAGAUAAAGUGAUCAAGGUGCAGGAGAGCAUCCAACGUACCCUGCCCCCUCUUGAACGCAACUUGGUUGUGCGAAAUGAGAUUAUUAGAUUGAGCAUACCAGGCGAGUCUAGUAGCAAUAAUCUUUUCAAUCAAUUUACCAAGGCAAGGAAGAAGGGAAAUGGGACGAUAACUGCUGACCACACCAGGAGGUUUACCAGGUUUUAAAAUAGGAAUAAUCGCGCUAGUCUUCCAGAGGACAGGGUAGUUGCCACUGAGAAAAAUACUAUUGUAAAGUUUGACUAGACGGGAUAUAAGGAAAGGAGGAAGGUGCUUGAUGAUAAGGUAAGAGAUUUUAUCAAUGCCAGGAGUUUUGCCCUUGACUGACGAGAGGGCUAAAUUAAAAUCAAGUUCAGAUAUAUCGGCAUCUAAAUAUUCAGCUGAUUGAGAUAAGGUGGAAGGAGGAAGGUAAGGAGAGCAAAGAGAAGAAAGUUUACUAGAGGAAAAAUCAGAAGAGAAAUUGGAGUCCAAAGAAAUAUUGGAAAAGUGGGUGGCAAACUCUAAGGCUAUAUCUUUGGGAUAUAGUAGAGUGCCCCGAGGAGUAUUUAAAUAAGUGAUAGGAGAAGAAGGUGAUAAACCAGCAAGUCUUUUCAUAUCAGUCCAGAUUUUUCUAGAAUCCGAAGAAGAAGUGAUAUUAUUCGUAAAUUCUUGGAAACAAUGAACCUUAGCAGCCUUAGCUUUAUGGCGAAAAAAUGCAUUGGAUUUUUUGUAAGCUAUUAAGUUUGCACUAGAACGUAAACGUUUAAAUUGAUGCCAUGCGAUCUGUUUCAGAUUUCUUAGUGCAGAAAGCUCAUUAUUCCACCAAAGAGGAGCAAGCUUGACUGGUUUAGAAGAAGAAAGGGGAAAAGAAUAGUUAGAAGCAGAACGUAUAAUUUUUUGGAUUCUAGAAGCCUCUUGAUUUAUAUUGGAAGAAAAGGGGAAAUAACGUGAAUGCGAUAAACAGGCUUCUUCAAACCUAUUCCAAUCAGCCGAAUCAGUUUUAAACCGAAUCCUGGGCUUAUUGAUGAGAGGGAGGCAUAUAUUUGAUGAGAGGGAGGCAGAACAUAUGGAAAGAUCAAUAUUAGUGAAGGUAGAGUGAGUGGAAAAAUGGGUGGGGGAACCAUCAUUUAAAACAAUGCAGUUGGAUCUUAGUAAGGCAUCCUCAAUGCUACGUCCCUUGGAGUUAGCCGAAGCAGAGCCCCAAAGGGGACUCCAAGCAUUGAAGUCACCACACAAGAUAAAAGGAUUUGAACCGGAAGGAAUAAGAUUUAAAAAUUCAGUAGUAGAAAAUGAUUGAUCAGGAGGGGAAUAAGCACAGAUGAUUGAAAUUUUAUAGGGGGCGAGGAUCUCAAUAGCUACAGAAGAAAAAAUUGAAAGGGGUAUGGGAAGUAAUACGUGAGGUAGAUUUCUUUUAACUAGGAUGGCAACUCCCUGCUUGUUGGUGGUGUUAUGUGGGAGAUUAAUAAAAUAUCCCACAUAAGCCCUAGGGGUAAAAGCUGAGGCAUUAUAAGAUAGGUGAGUUUCAUUCAACAGGAUAAUAGAUGGAUUGUACGAUCCCAUAAGUAACUCUAAGUUAAUAUAAUUAUUAACAUAACCGUUAAUGUUCCAUUGAAGAAGUGUAAUCAUAUCAUAUGUAAACUUAUAAAAGAAAAAAGUUAA